GCCUACCAUGCAGCCGAGCGGUAGAGAUUCUUCGGAAUCUUGAGAGCGGCGCACGGGUGCGGAACACGUGUGCAACCUGCCUUUAUCUGGGGGAUAGCCUUUCGAAAGGAAGAUUAAUACCCCAUAAUAUAUUUGAUGGCAUCAUUAGAUAUUGAAAACUCCGGUGGAUAGAGAUGGGCACGCGCAAGAUUAGAUAGUUGGUGAGGUAACGGCUCACCAAGUCAAUGAUCUUUAGGGGGCCUGAGAGGGUGAUCCCCCACACUGGUACUGAGACACGGACCAGACUCCUACGGGAGGCAGCAGUGAGGAAUAUUGGACAAUGGGUGAGAGCCUGAUCCAGCCAUCCCGCGUGAAGGACGACUGCCCUAUGGGUUGUAAACUUCUUUUAUACUGGGAUAAACCUACCCUCGUGAGGGUAGCUGAAGGUACAGUAUGAAUAAGCACCGGCUAACUCCGUGCCAGCAGCCGCGGUAAUACGGAGGGUGCAAGCGU
rnacentral:rRNA from 2 species